AUUGAACGCUGGCGGCAGGCCUAACACAUGCACGUCGAGCGGAGCGGCGGACGGGUGAGUAAUGCCUAGGAAUCUGCCUGGUAGUGGGGGAUAACGUCCGGAAACGGGCGCUAAUACCGCAUACUAUCAGAUGAGCCUAGGUCGGAUUAGCUAGUUGGUGGGGUAAAGGCCUACCAAGGCGACGAUCCGUAACUGGUCUGAGAGGAUGAUCAGGCACACGGGAACUGAGACACGGGCCAUACUACAACGGGAGGCAGCAGUGGGGAUUAUUGGACAAUGGGCGAAAGCCUGAUCCAGCCAUGCCGCGUGUGUGAAGAAGGUCUUAGGAUUGUAAAACACGUUAAGUUGGGAGGCGUUACCAACAGAAUAAGCACCGGCUAACUUAGUGCCAGCAGGCGAGGUAAUAC
rnacentral:rRNA from 1 species